UACGUAGGGGGCGAGCGUUGUCCGGAGUUACUGGGCGUAAAGCGCACGCAGGCGGUCUGCUAAGUUUGGAGUGACAGUUGGUGGCUUAACUGCCAAAGUGCUUCGAAAACUGACAGACUUGAGGGCUUCAGAGGGACACGGAAUUCCGGGUGGAGUGGUGAAAUGCGUAGAGAUCCGGAGGAACACCGACGGCGUAGGCAGCGCCCUAGACGAGACCUGACGCUCGGGCACGAAAGCGCGGGGAGCGAACAGG
rnacentral:rRNA from 1 species